ACGUAGGGGGCAAGCGUUAUCCGGAUUUACUGGGUGUAAAGGGAGCGUAGACGGCUUAGCAAGUCUGAAGUGAAAGCCCGGGGCUCAACCCCGGGACUGCUUUGGAAACUGUUAAGCUAGAGUGCUGGAGAGGUAAGCGGAAUUCCUAGUGUAGCGGUGAAAUGCGUAGAUAUUAGGAGGAACACCAGUGGCGAAGGCGGCUUACUGGACAGUAACUGACGUUGAGGCUCGAAAGCGUGGGGAGCAAACAG
rnacentral:rRNA from 1 species